UCGGCUUUGUACUUUUUUUCAUUUGUUGUAUUUUAUUUUAGCAGGCUAUCAUUUUUGAAGGAAAUCUGACAAAUCUGAUGGGACGCGGUGCUGACUGACUUGUGGCGUUUCAUCAGACAGGGUAGAUAAUGCUCACCUCAGCUUCUGUGUGUGCCAAAUCUGAAGUCCAGGAGCAUCGUUUUAUUGGUCAGCAUUAAUUACUUAAGUGGCCAAACAUUUCAGUAGAAGCAUCUGCCCUUUUAAGGAUAACGCAAAAAAUUCACCAGCACAAUGCAUCCUCUCCAAAGGAUUUGGACACUGGCAACCUGACAUCAGAGCCUUGGGGCCCCGACUCUGAGAGAUCUUCCUGAAGUAUCAAAAAAGAUUUACUGGAGAGGCCAGAACAAACCCUUGGUCCAAACAUUUCCAGCUGGGGGAAGUGGAAGAAACCAGAAGCCAGUCACGCAGUGGAGCCAUGGGGCAAUUCCAGUGGCUGAGGUUUUAAAGGAGUCCAAAAAUGGCACUGGGGAAACAACAAGGCAUCAGCAGAAGAACUGGAAGGAUGAUGGGCAUAUAAGUAAGUGAAUGCACUUUCUUUUCCUUAAAUUUACAGUA
rnacentral:lncRNA from 1 species